rnacentral:rRNA from 1 species
CGGCGAACGGGUGAGUAAUGCUUCGGAAUCUACCCAAUGGUGGGGAAUAACCAGCCGAAAGGUUGGCUAAUACCGCAUAAGUCCUACGGGAGAAAGCAGGGGAUCGUAAGACCUUGCGCCGAUGGAUGAGCCGAAGCCGGAUUAGCUAGUUGGUAGGGUAACGGCCUACCAAGGCGACGAUCCGUAGCUGGUCUGAGAGGACGACCAGCCACACUGGGACUGAGACACGGCCCAG